CAGUAAGUAGUUUAUUAAAAUAUUAAUUUUGGAUAUUAAAGAUGGGUUUAUUCUCUUUACUGA
rnacentral:tRNA from 1 species